rnacentral:rRNA from 1 species
UACGUAGGGCGCAAGCGUUGUCCGGAUUCACUGGGUGUAAAGGGUGCGCAGGCGGAUGGGCAAGUCAGGGGUGAAAUCUCACGGCUUAACCGUGAAACUGCCUUUGAUACUGCUCAUCUUGAGUCAGGGAGAGGUUGAUGGAAUUCCAGGUGUAGCGGUGAAAUGCGUAGAUAUCUGGAAGAACACCAGUGGCGAAGGCGGUCAACUGGCCCUCGACUGACGCUGAGGCACGAAAGCGUGGGGAUCAAACAGG